rnacentral:rRNA from 1 species
ACUUAAAUUGAAGAGUUUGAUCAUGGCUCAGAUUGAACGCUGGCGGCAGGCCUAACACAUGCAAGUCGAGCGGUAGCACAGAGAGCUUGCUCUCGGGUGACGAGCGGCGGACGGGUGAGUAAUGUCUGGGAAACUGCCUGAUGGAGGGGGAUAACUACUGGAAACGGUAGCUAAUACCGCAUAAUGUCGCAAGACCAAAGUGGGGGACCUUCGGGCCUCAUGCCAUCAGAUGUGCCCAGAUGGGAUUAGCUAGUAGGUGGGGUAACGGCUCACCUAGGCGACGAUCCCUAGCUGGUCUGAGAGGAUGACCAGCCACACUGGAACUGAGACACGGUCCAGACUCCUACGGGAGGCAGCAGUGGGGAAUAUUGCACAAUGGGCGCAAGCCUGAUGCAGCCAUGCCGCGUGUGUGAAGAAGGCCUUCGGGUUGUAAAGCACUUUCAGCGGGGAGGAAGGCGAUAAGGUUAAUAACCUUGUCGAUUGACGUUACCCGCAGAAGAAGCACCGGCUAACUCCGUGCCAGCAGCCGCGGUAAUACGGAGGGUGCAAGCGUUAAUCGGAAUUACUGGGCGUAAAGCGCACGCAGGCGGUCUGUCAAGUCGGAUGUGAAAUCCCCGGGCUCAACCUGGGAACUGCAUUCGAAACUGGCAGGCUAGAGUCUUGUAGAGGGGGGUAGAAUUCCAGGUGUAGCGGUGAAAUGCGUAGAGAUCUGGAGGAAUACCGGUGGCGAAGGCGGCCCCCUGGACAAAGACUGACGCUCAGGUGCGAAAGCGUGGGGAGCAAACAGGAUUAGAUACCCUGGUAGUCCACGCCGUAAACGAUGUCGAUUUGGAGGUUGUGCCCUUGAGGCGUGGCUUCCGGAGCUAACGCGUUAAAUCGACCGCCUGGGGAGUACGGCCGCAAGGUUAAAACUCAAAUGAAUUGACGGGGGCCCGCACAAGCGGUGGAGCAUGUGGUUUAAUUCGAUGCAACGCGAAGAACCUUACCUGGUCUUGACAUCCACAGAACUUUCCAGAGAUGGAUUGGUGCCUUCGGGAACUGUGAGACAGGUGCUGCAUGGCUGUCGUCAGCUCGUGUUGUGAAAUGUUGGGUUAAGUCCCGCAACGAGCGCAACCCUUAUCCUUUGUUGCCAGCGGU